rnacentral:rRNA from 1 species
UACGGAGGGAGCUAGCGUUGUUCGGAAUUACUGGGCGUAAAGGGCGCGUAGGCGGUUGGAUAAGUCAGCUGUGAAAACCACGGGCUUAACUCGUGGCCUGCAGUUGAGACUGUCUGGCUUGAGUGUGGGAGAGGAGAGUGGAAUUCCUGGUGUAGCGGUGAAAUGCGUAGAUAUCAGGAGGAACACCGAUGGCGAAGGCAGCCCCCUGGGUUAACACUGACGCUCAGGCACGAAAGCGUGGGGAGCAAACAGG